CCUACGGGUGGCAGCAGUAGGGAAUCUUCCACAAUGGGCGAAAGCCUGGUGGAGCAACGCCGCGUGGGCGAAGAAGGUCUUCGGAUCGUAAAACCCUGUUGUUAGAGAAGAAAGUGCGCGAGAGUAACUGUUCACGUUUUGACGGUAUCUAACCAGAAAGCUACGGCUAACUACGUGCCAGCAGCCGCGGUAAUACGGAAGUGGCAAGCGUUAUCCGGAAUUUGUGGGCGUAAAGGGAUCGUAGGCGGUCUUUUAAGUCUGGUGUGAAAGCCCUCGGGUUAACCGGAGUAGUGCCUUGGAAACGGGGAGACUUGAGUGCGGGAGAGGAGAGUGGAACUCCAUGUGUAGCGGUGAAAUGCGUAGAUAUAUGGAAGAACACCAGUGGCGAAGGCGGCUCGCUGGUCUGUAACUGACGCUGAGGUUCGAAAGCGUGGGUAGCAAACAGGAUUAGAUACCCCUGUAGUC
rnacentral:rRNA from 1 species